CAGCAGUGAACCUGUUCGCCAGCCUUACGUGAGCAGUCAGGCGGUCAAUCAGUUUAGCGCGCCACUUUGCUUUUGUCAACAGCCAAGCAACUGCUGCUGCUCAGCGGCCAUUGCUAGUGGCAUCAUCAUGGUACAAGAGUACCGGGCCAACAGCAGCACCUCCUCGUCAAUAAACGCUAAUAUCAAAACAGGCAACGCGCCCAUAUAAACAAAAGUAACUCACACAAACAUGACAAUAACAAUGAAAAUAAUAUUGCACAUGACUCGCUAUCUUUGAGCAUCAACUGCUGCCAUUAACAUUGGUGCUCGUCGGCAAUGUACGAUUCACAAAGCGCUUUGAGUACACCUCGUUACUCUCGCCCACUGGAGCGUAGAAGUCAGUGAAGUUUAGCAGCGGUCAAAACUUGAAUGAAAUUUCAAUACAAAACAGAGAAACAGCAAACAACGAAAACGCAAACGCAAACGUGAUGUCGAACCACGAAAUGGAUAUAAUAUCAAAUGGGCAAAUAGGAAAAGCCAUAAAAAACGACGAGUAUAAGAAAAAAGUGAAAUUGACGCUUUAGUAAUCCGCUACAACAACAAUAACGAACAUCUAUGUAUAUACAUUAGGGUGGUCCUUAAAUACAUCUACCGGAAAGGAAUACCUCCGCCUGCUCAAGUUAUUGCGCUAAAAGCUAUUCCUCGAUGGCAUAAACCGGAAGGACAAUGACUUUCUUCGCAAAAAAAGAGCAAAGUGCUAAUUGGGAAAUAAAGAAAAAACCGUAAAAAUGUCACUAAGAGCAAGUUGUGCAUAGAAGAGCGUCGCAACCAAAAAUAUUUAAAUACAUCGGAAUCAGGUAUGCCAACUGGUGGAGAAUUCCCCGGUUUUGGUGGAAUUCGAACUUUGUGCGGAAUGGCUUAAUAUUUUGAGGGAAUUUAAUAUACAGACUAUUUUGACCAUAUACCUUUGCGGUCAGCUGAUUAAGUUGAGUGACAUUCUGACUAAUUUUGUCUAUUCUUCUUCUGUUUAUGCAACAUUUGAAAUUAUUUACAGCGUGACAAAGAAUAAGGUUUAAAAAUUUAAAAAUAAAUAGUGUAGUUGAUAACCUUAAAGUAAAAUACCUACAAAAUUAACGACAAAAUAUUUCUUGUGCAAAAUAUGACAAUAAAGGUUGUUUUUAUUUAUAUUUA